rnacentral:RNase_P_RNA from 2 species
UAGGCAUAGUAGGUGGUUGCUUUUGAUUACAAAAGAGGAAAGUCCGAGCUACAAAGACAGGAUUCCAUUUAACGAAUGGCUAGGGUAACCUAAGGGAAAGUGCAACAGAAAAUUACCGCCUUAUAGAAUCUUAAGAUCUUAAGGUAAGGGUGAAAAGGUGAGGUAAGAGCUCACCGGUCUUUCAGCAAUGUUAGGCGUCUAUGCAAACCCAAUUCGUAGCAAGAAGAAUAUGGUUAAAGUCUUAAGAUAAUAAAUUCUUCGCUUGAGAUAUGUUGUGAAACAUAUCCUAGAUAAAUAGCCACCCACGACAGAACUCGGCUUAUCGCUAUGCCUAUUUU